rnacentral:rRNA from 1 species
GAUGAACGCUGGCGGCGUGCCUAAUACAUGCAAGUCGAGCGAACAGACGAGGAGCUUGCUCCUCUGACGUUAGCGGCGGACGGGUGAGUAACACGUGGAUAACCUACCUAUAAGACUGGGAUAACUUCGGGAAACCGGAGCUAAUACCGGAUAACAUGUUGAACCGCAUGGUUCAACAGUGAAAGACGGUCUUGCUGUCACUUAUAGACGGAUCCGCGCCGCAUUAGCUAGUUGGUAAGGUAACGGCUUACCAAGGCAACGAUGCGUAGCCGACCUGAGAGGGUGAUCGGCCACACUGGAACUGAGACACGGUCCAGACUCCUACGGGAGGCAGCAGUAGGGAAUCUUCCGCAAUGGGCGAAAGCCUGACGGAGCAACGCCGCGUGAGUGAAGAAGGUCCUCGGAUCGUAAAACUCUGUUAUUAGGGAAGAACAAAUGUGUAAGUAACUAUGCACGUCUUGACGGUACCUAAUCAGAAAGCCACGGCUAACUACGUG